AAACAUACUCCUGCCCCAAUCUAACCACCACGAGCAUAGGAGGUAAUCAAACUUAGAGCCACCGCUAUGAUGAUGACAAUGAAACCUGGAAGAUCCAUCCAAUCUACAGAAACAAAUCAAGUAUUAGGAUGAAGUGAACACGAAAUAUCAUUCAUUCCGAGUUUCUUGAUCUGAUGACAUCCCGGUCAUGGCUACCACACCCAUACAAGUUGUGAUCCCCUUCCACCCUCUGCUCUUGUAGAUAACUGCAUGCCUGCAUUUUCCUGACCCCGUAUACCAACUCGUGGAUGUGUCAAAGAACAACUUGUGUGUUUUUGUCAAGACUGACUGCGGUCCCAUUGCCUACAUUUAUGUCGGUGGAGAGGCUGGGAAGAUAGAGGAGUAUUGUGAGAUGGCAGCUCAGAAAGCCGUUCGUGAUCUUAUGAAAAAAACAACGUCUUUGUUGAAGAUAUCACUUCCUGUCGGAGCAUAGAUUUACUCGGUGUGCUGGCCUGUAUAUCCUCAAGAAGGGUGAGUUAGAACGGGUGGGAAAAGGGCCACCUAAGGUUGUCAUGCACGAGGUCUUCUGUGAGGGUGUAGCUGACGCUUCUAAGUGCGUUGUUGUGGACUAUAUGUCUGUAUUACUAGUGGUCUUUAGGAAGGUUCCAAUACUCAGCACUCAUAUUCAGACCCUUGAGCACAACCCUGACUAGUCCACUUCAUGGUCCACGCUUACAACUCCACAAAACAACCUUGCCUUUGAGUGCAUUGUGAGCGAUUAUUGCCCUAUUCUUACUGCAGCUAAGCAGAACCUUACAAAAAAGGCACUAGCUUAUUUAAUGGUAGCUUUCAAUGUUGAGGUUGUUGAUGCAAAUUACGACCCUACAAGGUCAAAAUUUGAUGUUCUGUUGUGUGCCCUUGAAAGGGAGAGUUGCGUGACUGUGAUGGAGCGAGUUCAAGGUAUCAAACAAACUAUGGAACCUUCGUUGUUGCUCGUGAAGCAAGACUGCUUGAAUCCUCACGGUGUGGCUUACCAAUUCCUAGCAUUGCACCCCCCCCCCCCCACUCCCUUUAAAGAAGCGCAAAUCUAGGCCAGAUGUUAUAGGGGUUGUUGUUGUUGUUGUUGCUGCUUCCAGCAAUGAAGUGCCUCUGUUCUUCUCAGGACUUCUUGAACCCGAGAUUGUUUUUAAACGCCCUAAAUUCGCUUAGGUUAUUGUAGACGGGCUUCUUUUGUUAUGAUAGUUGCAGGAUGCACCCCUAUAUCUGUAUUUUCCUUUUUUAGUUUGCUAGCUUCAAGUUGUAGGCUUGUGUUGGGCACUUAUUGUGGUUGUUGUUUCCUCAGACGCACUCAUUGGUUGUAACGUACAGAACAUUAAUACAUUGCAAGAGGAGCGCCUCUGGGUGAAAGUUGUUGUCCCCGAGCUGGACUUUGAUAGGGUGCAUGCAUACAUAGGUUGCUGUAAUUGUGGCAAACGCACAGAUGUUCCAGUGGGGAAAGCCUACACAUGCACCAACUGUUCACAGAAGGGUUCUAUGGCUUGUCCCAGGUUCGCUGGUAACAGCUCGAAAUUAGGCCUCCAAAACUGCCUCUUCUAUUGAUGAUAUUUUUCCCGGUUCAUGAAUGCAGAGUAACUACCAAUUGUGACAUCUCUGAAGGUACAAGGACACGUUCAGUAACCAUGUUCACUUUGGACUCUGAAACGCUGUUCAAGAUGCCUGUUGAAGAUAUAUUUCGGAUCAAACAUACUGUAUGUUCUUUGCACUUUGCCACAACUUUCCGUUUUUACUUGUGCAUAUAUGUUAAACCUGAUCAAGAUUCAUUGGAAAAUAAUAUGUAGCAAUUGGUAGCUGAAAAAUAUGAUUAUUCUAUGGUUUGUAUCACAUGUUUUCAUACCUGAAUCUUACUGUAAGA